rnacentral:rRNA from 1 species
GUGAGGAAUAUUGCACAAUGGAGGAAACUCUGAUGCAGCAACGCCGCGUGGAGGAUGACGCAUUUCGGUGUGUAAACUCCUUUUAAGAGGGAAGAUUAUGACGGUACCUCUUGAAUAAGCACCGGCUAACUCCGUGCCAGCAGCCGCGGUAAUACGGAGGGUGCAAGCGUUACUCGGAAUCACUGGGCGUAAAGGGUGCGUAGGCUGACUUUUAAGUCAGGCGUGAAAUCCAAUGGCUUAACCAUUGAACUGCGCUUGAAACUGGGAGUCUAGAGUUCAGAAGGGGCAGAUGGAAUUAGUGGUGUAGGGGUAAAAUCCGUAGAUAUCACUAGGAAUAUCAAAAGCGAAGGCGAUCUGCUGGGAUGAUACUGACGCUGAGGCACGAAAGCGUGGGGAGCAAACAGGAUUAGAAACCCUGGUAGUCC